UGGGGAAUUUUGGACAAUGGGCGAAAGCCUGAUCCAGCAAUGCCGCGUGUGUGAAGAAGGCCUUCGGGUUGUAAAGCACUUUUGUCCGGAAAGAAAUGGCUCUGGUUAAUACCUGGGGUCGAUGACGGUACCGGAAGAAUAAGGACCGGCUAACUACGUGCCAGCAGCCGCGGUAAUACGUAGGGUCUAAGCGUUAAUCGGAAUUAUUGGGCGUAAAGCGUGCGCAGGAGGUUGUGCAAGACCGAUGUGAAAUCCCCGAGCUUAACUUGGGAAUUGCAUUGGUGACUGCACAGCUAGAGUGUGGCAGAGGGGGGUAGAAUUCCACGUGUAGCAGUGAAAUGCGUAGAGAUGUGGAUGAAUGCCGAUGGCGAAGGCAGCCCCCUGGGAUAACACUGACGCUCAUGCACGAAAGCGUGGGGAGCAAACAGG
rnacentral:rRNA from 1 species